rnacentral:rRNA from 1 species
CAGCACCUCAAGUGGUCAGGAUGAUUAUUGGGCCUAAAGCAUCCGUAGCCGGCUCUGUAAGUUUUCGGUUAAAUCUGUACGCUCAACGUACAGGCUGCCGGGAAUACUGCAGAGCUAGGGAGUGGGAGAGGUAGACGGUACUCGGUAGGAAGGGGUAAAAUCCUUUGAUCUAUUGAUGACCACCUGUGGCGAAGGCGGUCUACCAGAACACGUCCGACGGUGAGGGAUGAAAGCUGGGGGAGCGAUCCGGAUUAGAGACCCGAGUAGUCC